CUGUAUAAAAGGGCUUGCAAACCAGUGCUCUUUACUCGGUUCUCCUGAUUUACUCUCCCUGGUAAGCAGAUUCGCCUCCAGCACAGCAAGAUGUUUGACAGCCUGGACAUGAUCGAAGACCUGCAUUACCAGGGCCAGUCUGACUGUCUUCCCUACCAGCGUAGAAGGCCACCAUACACGUGUUGUUGCUAUGACUGCUGGGGAAGGCUGGUUUGGAAAGGUUGCUGCUGGUCCGUACCCCCCUGGUGGUGCCGUCAGGGUGGCUCUGGAAAGGGCUGGCCAUGCUAAAUGCAGCUAGAAUAUCCACGAAAAGCAAGAUACAGAUUCACGGCUGACCCGAAGGACAUGGCUUGGAGCAGUGCUAAACACUCAGCACCUCCGUUGCUAUUAGUUUCACAUUGCUAGAAGAGUCCCCGCACGUACAAGUGUUUCCUACACUUUGCUUUCUCACUCUAGGAACUUUGAAUUCUCUGUGCUGUCAAGCAUUGAGACCUCUUCAUGCUGUGCUGUCAUUUAAAAGGAAGCCUCUGCUUCCUUAGAGUCCAUAUGCAACCCAUUGCAGACCACAUGACACAGCCACAGUUAUUAGAAGGGUUUUCGUGUCAACAGGAAGGAGAAACACGUCUAUCCUUUGCUUCUAACUUGAAACUUGGCUGCAGAAUCUGCAUCAUGGGGAAGCUACUUAUCCCCUUGUUUACCUGGUGCUUUUCCUCAUUGGACAUUAUUCCGGGAGAAAAGUAAUAAAUAAAUAGAUCAAACCAGCUAGGUAUUAAAAGUCAGCUGCUGCAAAGAAAGAAGCGCACGUUUUACAAAAUGGGCCAUGUGUAGUAUUCUGGUGGUGGCCCUUUGGCCAAUCUUGGCAAUAUUUGCUCUCUCCUCUGGAUCCAUUCUGCGUCUGUAUACUUCAUUUCUUCUAUGCAUUAAAAUUCCUCUGCAGCAUAA